rnacentral:rRNA from 1 species
GGCUUGUAGAUAAUAAUUUCAAGUUUUACCUGCCCGAUGAAUUUUAAAUGGCUGCGGUAUAUUAACCGUACAAAGGUAGCAUAAUCAAUAGUUUUUUAAUUGGGAGCUUGUAUGAAAGGUUUGAUGAAAAAAAUACUGUCUCUUUUAAAUUUAUUUAAAAUUUUACUUUUAAGUGAAAAGGCUUAAAUAUAAAUGGAAGACAAGAAGACCCUAUAGAGUUUUAUAUUUAUAAAAAUAAGAAAUUAAUAGGAAUUAAAUAUUUUCUUAUUUUAUGAAUAUUUUAUUGGGGUGAUAGAAAAAUUAAAUUAACUUUUUUUUUAUAAGAACAUUAAUUUAUGGGUUUUUGAUCCUAAGUGUUUAGAUUAAAAGAUUAAAUUACCUUAGGGAUAACAGCGUAAUUUUAUUUAGAGUUCUUAUCGAAGAUAAAGUUUGCGACCUCGAUGUUGGAUUAAAAUUAAUUAUUGGUGAAGAAGCUAAUAAAUUAGGUCUGUUCGACCUUUAAAAUUUUACAUGAUCUGAGUUUAAACCGGCGUGAG